CACGUAGUUGGCCGGCGCUUCUUCUGCAGGUACCGUCACUUACGCUUCGUCCCUGCUGAAAGAGGUUUACAACCCGAAGGCCGUCAUCCCUCACGCGGCGUCGCUGCAUCAGGCUUCCGCCCAUUGUGCAAUAUUCCCCACUGCUGCCUCCCGUAGGAGUCUGGGCCGUGUCUCAGUCCCAGUGUGGCCGGUCGCCCUCUCAGGCCGGCUACCCGUCGUCGCCUUGGUAGGCCAUCACCCCACCAACAAGCUGAUAGGCCGCGAGCCCAUCCCAAGCCGAAAAACUUUCCACCCAGCCUCAUGCGAGGCCAGGUCCUAUUCGGUAUUAGCCCCGGUUUCCGGGGUUAUCCCAAAGCCUGGGGCAGGUUGCUCACGUGUUACUCACCCGUUCGCCGCUCGAGUACCCCGAAGGGCCUUUCCGCUCGACUUGCAUGUGUUAAGCACGCCGCCAGCGUUCGUCGUGAGCCAGGAUCAAACUCU
rnacentral:rRNA from 1 species